CCUACGGGGGGCAGCAGUGGGGAAUAUUGGGCAAUGGGCGCAAGCCUGACCCAGCAACGCCGCGUGAAGGAAGAAGGCUCUCGGGUUGUAAACUUCUUUUAAGCGGGAAGAGCCGAAUACGGUACCUCUUGAAUAAGCCCCGGCUAACUACGUGCCAGCAGCCGCGGUAAUACGUAGGUGGCAAGGGUUGUCCGGGGUUACUGGGUGUAAAGGGCGGGCAGCGGGGAAGACAAGUCAGAUGUGAAAUCCCAGGGCUCAACCGCGGAACUGCCUUUGAAACUGUUUUUCGUGAGUACCGGAGAGGUCAUCGGAAUUCCUGGUGUAGCGGUGAAAUGCGUAGAUAUAAGGAAGAACACCAGUGGCGAAGGCGGAUGACUGGACGGCAACUGACGGUGAGGCGCGAAAGCGUGGGGAGCAAACAGGAUUAGAUACCCGGGUAGUC
rnacentral:rRNA from 1 species